CUCUUCCAAAAUCUCAGCGGUUAUUCUUAAUUGAGAUCACGUUCAAUCUGUCUUCUCUCCCAAAAAUGUAUGCGUCUAUACUCCAUUGAUAUCAUUACGGCUGAAGUUCACCGCUGCUUUUGUUUAUUGAAGAAAACCGUUUGUUUAUUUGUUGCUUACAUCGCCGAUUUGUUGGAGCGCGUCGUCGUUGCUUUUGAUUUACUGAACAAUGGAAGAAGUGGUGGUUGUACCUGACUGUUCUCCUGAGUUGAAGACUGUCAUCGGUCAGAAAUUCCAAUCCCUAGAUUUCGCUUUCACUUUUUACGAUGUAUAUGCCCGCGCUGUUGGUUUUGAUACGCGCAAACAAGGGAUGAGGAAGGUGGACGAUGUCACAACCUGGUAUUACGUUGUACGCAAUAGGGAAGGCAAUAGGAAGUCGGACGAAGAUGACCAAUUGAAUGCACGGUCUGGUUUCUCUAUCAAGCGCAGACGGUUAUCCAAGCGUUGUGGUUGUAAAGAGAGUAUAUCGGUAAAGUUUUUCUUCGAAUGAGGAUUACCAGGUUAUAUUAUCCAGGAGUUCAACGAGGCUCAUAACCAUCAUAUGGUUGAGUCAGAGCAUCAGCAAUUUAUGUCAAUCAAUCGAAAGUUGGAUAAUGUACAUCAGAAAUUCAUUCUUGACUAUUCCAAGGCUAAUAUAGGGCCCACACUUACAUUUAAAGUGUUGAAGGAAAUUCUCGGUGGGUUUGACCUUGUUGGUUACACUGUCGGGGAUAUCAGGAAUGCUUCUCGAGACAUCAAAGCAUACACACAUGAUUUGAUGUGCAAAUGGUGUUGGAUGAUAUGGCUAAGAAGAAGAAAAUGUCUGAGGCGUUCACAUAUCACUACGAAGUUAAUGCUUCUAACCAGUUGGUUGCUCUAUUUUGGUGUGACGGUUUGAUGAAGAGGAAUUACCACAUGUUUGGUGAUAUUGUAGCUUUUGACUCCACGUACAACACAAACAGGUACUGUAUGAUCUUCACUCCUUUCACUGGUAAGGAUAAUCAUG